GGUUGUAUCACAAGAGAAGGCAGGGAGCACAAUAGAACAGAACAAGGGAAUGAUUGUCUGAGGCACCUCUCUCGUACAUUGCAUGGGUUGGGAGUGUCCAGUUCUUUUUCAGAUAUUUAUCAGGGGCAGUUAACUAUCAUUCUUUUUGUUGUAGAAAAUAAAUGGAUAGGGGUGGGGCAAGAUGUCAUGAGUAGGGCAGAAAGUUAUGUGUGGAAUGAAGGGGGAGGAUGAUGGGAGGGAAUAAUUUACCAAGGUUCUUUAAAUCAUGCAAGCUAAUGACCUUGCACAUUUUAUUCACACGUACCCUUUGCAACCUCCACAGAGACUUAAAAACUUGUGACAAUGUCAGAGUCUUCUGAAAAGAUUAACGUAUAAUGCCUUCUGAACUCAAAAUUUAAAACUUAUCAAAAUAAAUGUUAAGUCUUUUGAUACCUUUGUAGAGGGAUGGGAAAAGGUAUUUGUGGCUGUAAUUUUUGGUUUUCAAAUUACAUGUUUUAUAAACACAUGUUUUAUAAACCAACAUAUAUAUCCAAAUGUGUAAGUAAAUAUAAGCAAGAAACAGAGAAUACAACUGGCUUUUCUGACCAACAUAUAAGUCAGUGAAAUUUAACAAUAGCUCAGAACAUCUCUAUAGCAAUAUAUAGAAGGAUAUUACUGAGGAAAUGAAUAUUUAAUUGGAGACCAGUUAGAACCUAUUAUCAUUGUAAUACAUUCAGAUCUGUAUAUUCACAUAUAAAUUUUAAUGUGUUUACAUACACCAAUGCCUAUCGAUAAAGUUUAGAACCAACAUUUGAAACUGCAUCUUAGAAUAUAAAUUCACUCUAAGUUUACAAAUAUUUGAACAAUUAAUUUCUUUCAGUAAGACAGGUCCACAUACUAGAAAUAUUAAAAUAAUUGAGGAAAUUAAAGAGUAAUUUUAAAACUGAAAUAUGCAAGACAAAUCACAACUAUUUAUAUAUAAGAAAAUAUAAAAGGUAGCAUAACAUUGUCCUCAACACUACACAAUUUGUAAGAGAAAAUUUUAAUUCUUUACCAUACUUGUUAGUUUAUUGGAACAAACUCAGAUUAUAAAAUGAGAUAAGACUGUUCAAAUUCCAUCUCUGAUAUUUCCUAGUUAUGCAACCUAGGGCAAAUUGCUUAACAUGUCAGAGCUAAGUAAUUUCAGCUAUAAAUAAACAAAUAAAUAAAUAAAUCCAAGAAUGAUAUUUACCUACCUAGAGCAUUGCAUGAGGAUGAUGUAACUGCAUAAAAUGUUACAUGACGAUAAAAGGAUCAAGCAUAUAACUGUAUAACUGUUAGUACUCACUUCUUCUCCUCACCCCAUUCUCCUGUUCACUCUAACUCUGGAAGUCCAUUUUGAAAAGAGGGACCUCUACCAAUUUCCCAUUUGAGGUCUUUGAGGUCUGUGCAAAGGACUGUAGAAGAUAAACAAACUCCUUCUGCCUUCAAUAAUUGAGCUAUUUUGAAAAUACACAAAGGGCUGUACCUAUAAAUUGUACUUAUAUUAGAGCAAGCAAAAGAAUUUCCCAAAGCAGAAAGCAAGAGUCUCGCCCUGAGAACCGUAACAGACAUUUCUGCAAUGAUGAAAUACCCUGCAUCCACCAUGCCCAGCAUGGUAGUGACUAUGACACAGGGUUGCUGAGCAUGUGAAAUGCAGUGAGCAAAGAGCUGAAUGAGGAACUGAAUACUUGAUUGGGGCAUUUUGAACGUCUUAACCAUUAAAACAGUGUUUGGGGUUGUAUUAAAUUCCUGCUGAUUUCCAUUGCCAAAGAUGGGAAGGAAGGAGAAAACAUUGUAGAUAAAACAUAAACCACAGAAAUGAGAAAAUUCUAAACCUUAGAUGCACCUUCAAUUUAUUUUUUAUUGAAUUGCAUAGAAAAAUGAAUGAAAAGUUAAUUUUAGAAAAUUUAGUUACAAAGCAAUAGAGAAUACCAGUGUCUAACUUCUCCCUUCAGAAUAAAACAAGUAUUGAAGCAACAUGUUGUUAAAAAUAUCACACGUUCAUUUGUUUACUUGACAAAUAUUUACCAAGCACUUGCUAGGUUCAUGGCACCUUGCUAGGUGCUGGAUAUUCUGCAAAUAAAUAAAUAAACAGAUAUCAUCUAUGCCAGGGGUGUCAAACCCAUUUUCACCAGGGGCUAAACCAGCCUCCCAGUUGCCUUCAAAGGGCCAAAUGUAAUUUUAGGACUGUAUAAGUGUAACUACUCCUUAACAGUUAAGCAAGAGCUCGGUGCUGCCACUGGGUAGAAGCAAGGUGCUGGGUGGAUAAAACAAGGUCGGGGGGCCCCCGCGAGCCUUGUAUUUGCCACCUGUGAGUCUAUACCUUCAAAUACCUUUAAUACAGUGGUUUCUCUACUAAGCUGCCUUUCUUUCUUGGUUUAAAAAUUCAAAUGUAUUUCACACUUGAAAGAGAACUAGGGAAAAUGAAUCAGGGAAAAACAAACAGAAAUAUUUUUCUCCUGGGGAAAUAGUGCUUUCAAGUAAACUGCAGCACACCUUUAUUGAAAGCAGUACUUUGUUUUUAUUAAAUCGAAUGUUGUUUUUUGGUUACUGCAACCUUUUGGAAUGAAAGAAAACAUAAUUUCAAGAAACAGCUUCGAAAGAUUUUUUUCUAACUACCUGACAGAAGAUGAAAAUGGUAUAAAGAAUGGCAAUAAAAUAUACAUUAACAACAACCUAUGUAGACAUAUUUUUAGUUUUAUAAUCACUACAGCAAAACUAUAUGACAGUUGUCAGAAAAUACGGCAUGCCUUAAGUAAGUGUAAUAUUUUUGGAGUACAAAUACUGAUGGGAUAAUAGGAUACAAGAUUAAGUGACAGGUAGAAGUACAAAUAUAUAAGAGCUGAUUAAUUAUCACAGGAUUGUACUCUCAACUGAUUAUUAUU